UACGGAGGGGGCUAGCGUUGUUCGGAAUUACUGGGCGUAAAGCGCACGUAAGCGGCUUUGUAAGUUAGAGGUGAAAGCCCAGGGCUCAACCCUGGAAUUGCCUUUAAGACUGCAUCGCUUGAACAUCGGAGAGGUAAGUGGAAUUCCGAGUGUAGAGGUGAAAUUCGUAGAUAUUCGGAAGAACACCAGUGGCGAAGGCGACUUACUGGACGAUUGUUGACGCUGAGGUGCGAAAGCGUGGGGAGCAAACAGG
rnacentral:rRNA from 1 species